rnacentral:SRP_RNA from 1 species
UCUGGGCAUGGUGGCUCAUGCCUGUACUCCCAGCUACUCCGGAGGAUGAGGCAGGAGGAUCACCUGAGCCCAGGGUUUUGUGGCUGCAGUGAGCCAAGAUUAUGCCACUGCACUCCAACCUGGGCAACAGAGUGAGACCUUGUCUCUA